rnacentral:tRNA from 1 species
GAGGGUGUAGCUCAGUGGUGGAGUGCAUGCUUAACAUGCAAGAGGUCCUGAGUUCAAUCCCUGGUACCUCCA